rnacentral:rRNA from 1 species
GACGAACGCUGGCGGCGUGCUUAACACAUGCAAGUCGAACGGAAAGGCCCUGCUUUUGUGGGGUGCUCGAGUGGCGAACGGGUGAGUAACACGUGAGUAACCUGCCCUUGACUUUGGGAUAACUUCAGGAAACUGGGGCUAAUACCGGAUAGGAGCUCCUGCUGCAUGGUGGGGGUUGGAAAGUUUCGGCGGUUGGGGAUGGACUCGCGGCUUAUCAGCUUGUUGGUGGGGUAGUGGCUUACCAAGGCUUUGACGGGUAGCCGGCCUGAGAGGGUGACCGGCCACAUUGGGACUGAGAUACGGCCCAGACUCCUACGGGAGGCAGCAGUGGGGAAUAUUGCACAAUGGGCGGAAGCCUGAUGCAGCAACGCCGCGUGCGGGAUGACGGCCUUCGGGUUGUAAACCGCUUUCGCCUGUGACGAAGCGUGAGUGACGGUAAUGGGUAAAGAAGCACCGGCUAACUACGUGCCAGCAGCCGCGGUGAUGCGUAGGGUGCGAGCGUUGUCCGGAUUUAUUGGGCGUAAAGGGCUCGUAGGUGGUUGAUCGCGUCGGAAGUGUAAUCUUGGGGCUUAACCCUGAGCGUGCUUUCGAUACGGGUUGACUUGAGGAAGGUAGGGGAGAAUGGAAUUCCUGGUGGAGCGGUGGAAUGCGCAGAUAUCAGGAGGAACACCAGUGGCGAAGGCGGUUCUCUGGGCCUUUCCUGACGCUGAGGAGCGAAAGCGUGGGGAGCGAACAGGCUUAGAUACCCUGGUAGUCCACGCUGUAAACGGUGGGUACUAGGUGUGGGGUCCAUUCCACGGGUUCCGUGCCGUAGCUAACGCUUUAAGUACCCCGCCUGGGGAGUACGGCCGCAAGGCUAAAACUCAAAGGAAUUGACGGGGCCCCGCACAAGCGGCGGAGCAUGCGGAUUAAUUCGAUGCAACGCGUAGAACCUUACCUGGGUUUGACAUGGAUCGGGAGUGCUCAGAGAUGGGUGUGCCUCUUUUGGGGUCGGUUCACAGGUGGUGCAUGGCUGUCGUCAGCUCGUGUCGUGAGAUGUUGGGUUAAGUCCCGCAACGAGCGCAACCCUUGUUCACUGUUGCCAGCACGUUAUGGUGGGGACUCAGUGGAGACCGCCGGGGUCAACUCGGAGGAAGGUGGGGAUGACGUCAAGUCAUCAUGCCCCUUAUGUCCAGGGCUUCACGCAUGCUACAAUGGCUGGUACAGAGAGUGGCGAGCCUGUGAGGGUGAGCGAAUCUCGGGAAGCCGGUCUCAGUUCGGAUUGGGGUCUGCAACUCGACCUCAUGAAGUCGGAGUCGCUAGUAAUCGCAGAUCAGCAACGCUGCGGUGAAUACGUUCCCGGGGCU